rnacentral:ncRNA from 1 species
AGACGGGGCUCUGGAGAGUUUCUCUUGAUGAUGAAGGGAACACCAAAGGGGAAGCCGCGAGGCAAAUCUCUCAGGUUCAAGGACAGAGGAAGUGCG